rnacentral:lncRNA from 1 species
CUUGUUUCGCGUUGAGCGUUCCUGAAUGGGUUGUUUCCUGUAACCUUUUGUUGAUGGAAGCCACAUUUUCCAGAGAAUAUUUUUCUGCAACCUUUUGUUGUCGAUACCCCCAAGCAGUAUUACCCAGUAACGUUCCAAUACUACCCAACAAGUCAGUUUUAUUGAACUUUGUCAGUAGCCUUAUUUUUCCAAUAUUUUUCUCACUAUCAUCCUUUUGGUGAAAGUCCAUUGAGGAAUA